rnacentral:rRNA from 1 species
AUUGAACGCUGGCGGCAGGCCUAACACAUGCAAGUCGAGCGAGCGGCGGACGGGUGAGUAAUGUAUGGGGACUGCCCGAUAGAGGGGGAUAACUACUGGAAACGGUAGCUAAUACCGCAUACUAUCGGAUAACCCAUAUGGGAUUAGCUAGUAGGUGAGGUAAUGGCUCACAUAGGCGACGAUCCCUAGCGGGUCUGAGAGGAUGAUCAGCCACAUUGGGACUGAGCCACGGCCCAGACUCAGACGGAGGCAGCAGUGGGGAAUAUUGCACAAGGGGCGCAAGCCUGAUGCAGCCAUGCCGCGUGUAUGAAGAAGGCCCUAGGGUUGUAAAGUACUUUCAGUCGGGAGGCGUUACCGACAGAAGAAGCACCGGCUAACUCCGUGCCAGCAGCCGCGGUAAUUC